rnacentral:rRNA from 1 species
GACGAACGCUGGCUGCGCGCUUAACACAUGCAAGUCGAACGGAAAGGCCCUGCUUUUGUGGGGUGCUCGAGUGGCGAACGGGUGAGUAACACGUGAGUAACCUGCCCUUGACUUUGGGAUAACUUCAGGAAACUGGGGCUAAUACCGGAUAGGAGCUCCUGCUGCAUGGUGGGGGUUGGAAAGUUUCGGCGGUUGGGGAUGGACUCGCGGCUUAUCAGCUUGUUGGUGGGGUAGUGGCUUACCAAGGCUUUGACGGGUAACCGGCCUGAGAGGGUGACCGGCCACAUUGGGACUGAGAUACGGCCCAGACUCCUACGGGAGGCAGCAGUGGGGAAUAUUGCACAAUGGGCGGAAGCCUGAUGCAGCAACGCCGCGUGCGGGAUGACGGCCUUCGGGUUGUAAACCGCUUUCGCCUGUGACGAAGCGUGAGUGACGGUAAUGGGUAAAGAAGCACCGGCUAACUACGUG